rnacentral:rRNA from 1 species
UACGUAGGGGGCUAGCGUUGUCCGGAAUCAUUGGGCGUAAAGCGCGUGUAGGCGGUCCGGUAAGUCCGCUGUGAAAGUCGGGGGCUCAACCCUCGAAAGCCGGUGGAUACUGUCGGGCUAGAGUGCGGAAGAGGCGAGUGGAAUUCCUGGUGUAGCGGUGGAAUGCGCAGAUAUCAGGAGGAACACCAAUAGCGAAGGCAGCUCGCUGGGACGUUACUGACACUGAGGCGCGAAAGCGUGGGGAGCGAACAGG